GGCGGCAUAGCCAAGUGGUAAGGCAGAGGUCUGCAAAACCUUCACCCCCGGUUCGAAUCCGGGUGCCGCCUUCA
rnacentral:tRNA from 2 species